GCGGCGAACGGGUGAGUAAUGCUUGGAAUCUUCCCAGUAGUGGGGAAUAACCAGUCGAAAGAUUGGCUAAUACCGCAUACGUCUGUAAAGGGAAAGCGGGGGCUCGUAAGACCUCGCGCUAUUGGAUGAGCCAAAGUCGGAUUAGCUAGUUGGUGGGGUAAUGGCCUACCAAGGCGACAAUCCGUAGCUGGUCUGAGAGGACGACCAGCCACACCGGAACUGAGACACGGUCCGGACUCCUACGGGAGGCAGCAGUGGGGAAUAUUGGACAAUGGGGGAAACCCUGAUCCAGCGACGCCGCGUGUGUGAAGAAGGCCUGCGGGUUGUAAAGCACUUUUAGUGGGGACAAAAAGCUACGGAUUAAUACUCUGUGGUCUUGAUUUAACCCAAAGAAAAAGCACCGGCUAACUCUGUGCCAGCAGCCGCGGUAAUACAGAGGGUGCGAGCGUUAAUCGGAAUUACUGGGCGUAAAGCGCGCGUAGACGGUUUUGUAAGUCAGAUGUGAAAUCCCUGGGCUCAACCUGGGAACUGCAUUUGAGACUGCAUGGCUAGAGUAUGGAAGAGGGAAGUGGAAUUUCCGGUGUAGCGGUGAAAUGCGUAGAUAUCGGAAGGAACACCAGUGGCGAAAGCGACUUCCUGGUCCAAUACUGACGUUCAUGUGCGAAAGCGUGGGGAGCAAACAGGAUUAGAUACCCUGGUAGUC
rnacentral:rRNA from 1 species